UGGGGAAUAUUGCACAAUGGGCGCAAGCCUGAUGCAGCCAUGCCGCGUGUGUGAAGAAGGCCUUCGGGUUGUAAAGCACUUUCAGCGAGGAGGAAGGUGGUGAGCUUAAUACGCUCAUCAAUUGACGUUACUCGCAGAAGAAGCACCGGCUAACUCCGUGCCAGCAGCCGCGGUAAUACGGAGGGUGCAAGCGUUAAUCGGAAUUACUGGGCGUAAAGCGCACGCAGGCGGUUUGUUAAGUCAGAUGUGAAAUCCCCGGGCUCAACCUGGGAACUGCAUUUGAAACUGGCAAGCUAGAGUCUCGUAGAGGGGGGUAGAAUUCCAGGUGUAGCGGUGAAAUGCGUAGAGAUCUGGAGGAAUACCGGUGGCGAAGGCGGCCCCCUGGACGAAGACUGACGCUCAGGUGCGAAAGCGUGGGGCAGCAAACAGGAUUAGAUACCCCUGGUAGUCCAGCGCUGUAAAACGAUGUCGAUUUUGGAGGUUGUGCCCUUGAGGCGUGGCUUCCGGAGCUAACGCGUUAAAUCGACCGCCUGGGGAGUACGGCCGCAAGGUUAAAACUCAAAUGAAUUGAC
rnacentral:rRNA from 1 species